rnacentral:rRNA from 1 species
AGGAUGAACGCUAGCGGCAGGCUUAACACAUGCAAGUCGAGGGGUAUAGGUUUUCGGACCUAGAGACCGGCGCACGGGUGCGUAACGCGUAUGCAAUCUACCUUUUACAGAGGGAUAGCCCAGAGAAAAUUUGGAUUAAUACCUCAUAGUAUAUAGACUUCGCAUGAAGAUUAUAUUAAAGUCACAACGGUAAAAGAUGAGCAUGCGUCCCAUUAGCUAGUUGGUAAGGUAACGGCUUACCAAGGCAACGAU